rnacentral:rRNA from 1 species
UGCUUGGGAAUAUGCCUUGAGGCGGGGACGAACAGUUGGAACGACUGCUAAUACCGCAUAAUGUCUACGGACCAAAGAGGGGGACCGUUCGGGCCGUCUCGCGUCAGGAUUAGCCCACGGUGAGAUUAGCUUGUUGGUGAGGUAAGAGCUCACCAAGGCAACGAUCUCUAGCUGGUCUGAGAGGAUGAUCAGCCACACUGGAACUGAGACACGGUCCAGACUCCUACGGGAGGCAGCAGUGGGGAAUAUUGCACAAUGGGGGAAACCCGUGAUGCAGCCACGCCGCGUGUAUGAAGAAGG